UUGCAAUGGGCGAAAGCCUGACAGAGCAAUACCGCGUGAGGGAAUAAGAAGGCCUAUGGGUUGUAAACCUCUUUUCUCAAAGAAGAAGAUCUGACGUUAUUUGAGGAAUAAGCAUCGGCUAACCCUGUGCCAGCAGCCGCGGUAAGACAGGGGAUGCGAGUGUUAUCCGGAAUUAUUGGGCGUAAAGCGUCUGUAGGUUGAAUUCAAAGUCUUUUGUAAAAUCUUUAAGCUCAACUUAAAAACCGCAAAAGAUACUAGUUUUCUUGAGUAUGGUAGAGGUAAAGGGAAUUUCCAGUGGAGCGGUGAAAUGCGUAGAGAUUGGAAGGAACACCAAAAGCGAAGGCACUUUACUGGGCCAUUACUGACACUGAGAGACGAAAGCUAAGGGAGCAAACGGGAUUAGAUACCCCGGUAGUCUUAGCAGUAAACCAUGGAUACUAGAUGUUGUAAAUAUUUACAGUGUCGUAGUUAACGCGUUAAGUAUCC
rnacentral:rRNA from 1 species